AACGAACGCUGGCGGCAUGCCUAACACAUGCAAGUCGAACGAUUGCCUUCGGGUGAUAGUGGCGCACGGGUGCGUAACGCGUGGGAAUCUGCCCUUAGGUUCGGAAUAACAGCUGGAAACGGCUGCUAAUACCGGAUGAUAUCGCGAGAUCAAAGAUUUAUCGCCUGAGGAUGAGCCCGCGUUGGAUUAGGUAGUUGGUGGGGUAAAGGCCUACCAAGCCGACGAUCCAUAGCUGGUCUGAGAGGAUGAUCAGCCACACUGGGACUGAGACACGGCCCAGACUCCUACGGGAGGCAGCAGUGAGGAAUAUUGGACAAUGGGCGCAAGCCUGAUCCAGCAAUGCCGCGUGAGUGAUGAAGGCCCUAGGGUUGUAAAGCUCUUUUACCCGGGAAGAUAAUGACUGUACCGGGAGAAUAAGCCCCGGCUAACUCCGUG
rnacentral:rRNA from 1 species